rnacentral:rRNA from 1 species
CCCUAUGGCCAUACCACCCUGAACGCGCCCAAUUUUGUCUGAUCUCAGAAGUUAAGCAGGGUCGGCCUGGUUAGUAAUUGGAU